rnacentral:rRNA from 1 species
UGGCGGCCAUGGCGGCGUGGAACCACCCGACCCCAUCCCGAACUCGGAAGUGAAACACGCCAGCGCCGAUGGUAGUGCG